rnacentral:rRNA from 1 species
GACGGAGGAUGCAAGUGUUAUCCGGAAUCACUGGGCGUAAAGCGUCUGUAGGUGGUUUAAUAAGUCAACUGUUAAAUCUUGAGGCUCAACCUCAAAAAUCGCAGUCGAAACUAUUAGGCUAGAGUAUAGUAGGGGGUAAAGGGAAUUUCCAGUGGAGCGGUGAAAUGCGUAGAGAUUGGAAAGAACACCGAUGGCGAAGGCACUUUACUGGGCUAUUACUAACACUCAGAGACGAAAGCUAGGGUAGCAAAUGGG